rnacentral:rRNA from 1 species
AGUGAACGCUGGCGGUAGGCCUAACACAUGCAAGUCGAACGGCAGCGCAGUAAGAGCUUGCUCUUACGGGUGGCGAGUGGCGGACGGGUGAGGAAUACAUCGGAAUCUACUUUUUCGUGGGGGAUAACGUAGGGAAACUUACGCUAAUACCGCAUACGACCUACGGGUGAAAGCAGGGGAUCUUCGGACCUUGCGCGAUUGAAUGAGCCGAUGUCGGAUUAGCUAGUUGGCGGGGUAAAGGCCCACCAAGGCGACGAUCCGUAGCUGGUCUGAGAGGAUGAUCCGCCACAAUGGAACUGAGACACGGUCCCGACUCCUACGGGAGGCAGCAGUGGGGAAUAUUGGACAAUGGGCGCAAGCCUGAUCCAGCCAUACCGCGUGGGUGAAGAAGGCCUUCGGGUUGUAAAGCCCUUUUGUUGGGAAAGAAAAGCAGCAGGUUAAUACCCCGCUGUUCUGACGGUACCCAAAGAAUAAGCACCGGCUAACUUCGUG